GGGUAUAAUCAUAUCAACAUUUAUGCAUCGGAUCCUAUUAGAGCUUUGAAGUUAAACAUGUUGGACGAGAGUAGUACUAAGAUCAAUGACCUCUUGAAAGUCCUUGUAUAACUCA
rnacentral:rRNA from 1 species